CAGUCGCCACGGUAAUACGGAGGGGGCUAGCGUUGUUCGGAAUUACUGGGCGUAAAGGGCGCGUAGGCGGUUUGUACAGUUGGAUGUGAAAUUCCUGGGCUUAACCUGGGGGCUGCAUUCAAUACGUGCAGGCUUGAGUGUGGAAGAGGGUUGUGGAAUUCCCAGUGUAGAGGUGAAAUGCGUAGAGAUCGGGAGGAACAUCAGUGGCGAAGGCGGCCAUCUGGGACAACACUGACGCUGGGGCACGAAAGCGUGGGGAGCAAACAGGAUUAGAUACCCCUGUAGUCCCUGUCUCUUAUAC
rnacentral:rRNA from 1 species